AACCUUGGGAAACUGAGAAUAAUGCUUGAUAAAAGAUUAUGCCUGGAAGGGUUUAUCUUUCAAAGCUUCGGCGCACAAGGAUGGGACUGCGGUGGAUUAGGCUGAUGUUGAGGUAAAUGCUUAACAUACCUAUAAUCCAUAGGGGCUGUGAGAGCAGUAGCCUCCAGAUGGGUUCUGAGACAUUAACCCAGGCCCUACGGGGCGCAGCAGUUACGGAACCUUCACAAUGCACGAAAGUGUGAUGAGGGAAUCCUAAGUGCUAGCACUUUGUGUUAGCUUUUCUCAAGUCUAAACAGCUUGAGGAAUAAGUGGUGGGUAAGACCGUUGCCAGCCGCCGCGGUAAUAACGGCGCCACAAGUGGUGUCCAUGUAUAUUGGGUCUAAAGCAUCCGUAGCCGGUUUAUUAAGUCUUCUGUGAAAUCUUUUUGAAAACAAAGAGGCGUGCAGAGGAUACUAAUAAACUUGGGACUAGGAAGGGUUAGAGGUACUCUUAGGGUAGGGGUAAAAUCCUAUAAUCCUAAGGGGACCAUCUGUGGCGAAGGCGUCUAACUAGAACGGGUCCGACGGUGAGGGAUGAAAGCUAGGGGAGCAAAGCGGAUUAGAUACCCGCGUAGUCCUAGCUGUAAACGAUGCCCGUUAGGUAUUGGGUUUCUCUUGUAGAAAUCCAG
rnacentral:rRNA from 1 species